UUAUAACAGCAUCUAAAUAUAGGUGAAAGCUGUCAUACCUGACUCUACAAGUGAAUCCUUUGAUAUUCAAGAGAGCUCUGACACCCCGAAGCUUUAUGAUGAGAGUUCUAGAAUAGCUAUGGGAGGUUCUGUUCUUUCUCAUUCCAUUUCCACAAUUCAGAUAUCAGAUAUAGCGGUUGCAAUCUCCCGCCCUUCUGUCUAAAGAUCUCAGAUAAAGCAGUUAAAAUCUCCCUUCCUCUGGUCUAGUGAUCUCAAAUUUAGCAAUUAUAAUCUCCCGCCCUCCUGUCCAGAGAUUUCAGAUAUCCCGCCCUCCUGUCUAUAAUCUCCCACCCUCCUGUCUAGAGAUCUCAGAUAAAGCGGUUAUAAUCUCCCGACCUCCUGUCCAGAGAUUUUAGAUAUCCCGCCCUCCUGUCUAUAAUCUCCCACCCUCCUGUCUAGAGAUCUCAGAUAUAGCUGUUAUAAUCUCCCGCCCUCCUGUCUAGAGAUCUCAGAUAAAGCUGUUGCAAUCUCCCGGCCUUCUGACAAGAUAUCUCAGAUAUAGCGGUUGCAAACUCCUGACCUUCUGACAAGAUACCUCAGAUAUAGCUCUUGUAAACUCCUGACCUCCUGUCUAUAGAUCUCAGAUAUAGCUGUUAUAAUCUCCCGCCCUCCUAUCUAGAGAUCUCAGAUAUAGCUUUUAUAAUCUCCCGCCCUCCUGUCUAGAGAUCUCAGAUAAAGCUGUUGCAAUCUCCCGGCCUUCUGACAAGAUAUCUCAGAUAUAGCGGUUGCAAACUCCUGACCUUCUGACAAGAUACCUCAGAUAUAGCUGUUGUAAACUCCUGACCUCCUGUCUAGAGAUCUCAGAUAUAGCUGUUAUAAUCUCCCGCCCUCCUGUCUAGAGGUCUCAGAUAAAGCGGUUGCAAUUACCCGGCCUCCUGUCUAGAAAUCUCAGAUAAAGCUGUUGCAAUCUCCCGGCCUUAUGUCAAGAUAUCUCAAAUAUAGCGGUUGCAAUCUUCCGCCGUCUUGUUAAGAGAUCAACACUAUUUAAAAUUCUUAGACCAUCAGAGGGUUUGGUUACACUCUUUUAGACCACUUAAAAGCGAGCAUUAAAAACUGCUAUUUUAAUCUUUACCAACUUUGAAAUUUUAAGGAGAAAAAAACAUCAUCCAACCAAUAUCUACCAUAUUCAAGCAAUACUUCAUACAGUGCUCAUCUAAAGAACCCGGAAUGAUAUUUAAUUGACUGAAGACUUGAAAGUUGAAAGGCGUCUGUGACCAUUGAAAAAGAUUGCGGUUUUCAUUAUAAUUAAAAGCAUUCCGCAACUUAAUUUUAGCAAUAUUUUUUAUUAAACAUUGAUCACAAAAUAGUACUUAGUCCUACCAUUGACAAAAUGUGGUUUAUUUUUUUUCAUAAUCACCGGAGAUAUGAAUGAUUUUGUUUAGAAUUAGACAUCAGCGUGGGUAAAAGUCAAAUAUAUCCGUAUAGGUAGGACUAUACAUAUCUACCUUGUAUAUAAAUCCUAUAUAGCAUCAUUCUAUUCUUGCACGUUUGGUAUUAUUUAAUAAAUUGAAAUUUAAGCAAAAUUCUUAAUAUCUCUGGCAUUUUUACAAGCCAAAAAAAUGGCAGACCACACUUUGGAAAUGGCAGGACUAGAACUAUUUUGUUGUGAAUAUUGUUUCACAAGAAAUAUUGCAAAAGUUAGGUUGCUGAUAAUGAAUGCCUCAAACUUUGUCUGUGGUCAAAGACGCCUUUCAAGUCUUUAAUCAAUUUCCGGGAUAAGCAGUGUAGCUAUUUAAUCAAUUUCCGGGAUAAGCAGUGUAGCUAUUUAAUCAAUUUCCGGGAUAAGCAGUGUAGCUAUUUAAUCAAUUUCCGGGAUUAGCAGUGUAGCUAUUUAAAAUUUAGUCGUAAAUUAUAAAAAAAAUUGGUAUUUAAGUUGAUCGUUUUUGAUGUUUAUUUGCUUGAUUCUUUUAUAUAUUUCCACUUAACAAGAAUUCUUGAUUUAACAUCGAAUUUCGAAUUUAUAUGUUAUUGAUACUUAAUCUUCUCCUCCAACGAAGUAGAGGGGGGGGGGGGUCUGAAAACUUAUGAAUUUGUGAUAGUUUUUUAUGUAUUAUCUAAUUGUGAAGAACAAUAAAUUUGUAUAAUCUAA